ACAAGUGAAUGCAGCUGGACAAAGAUGGAGUUGCAGACAUGACAAGAACGAAAAUGAUAGCAGCAACACAUGUCCCAAUGUACCCAACUCAAGUACUAAAUCUCAAUCCUAAACAAACUAGGGUCCAUACAUGGAUAUUUUUCUUCAUCAAGCUCUGCUUGAGGCUAUAUUUUCUAUUAAUAACACACAUUCUCUGCCCAUAACAAAAAUGUGAUCUUGACAAUCCACUUUUCAGCAAAUGCAUUCACAUAUCAUUUUGCACAAAGUAACAUCUAUCAUCAUGUCCUGUAGCAUACACAGGGUAAAGAAACUUUAAGAUAAUAACUCUGGUCAGCCAGCUACUAGUCUCCAAGUGAUCAUCAAAGGAUGCACUUCUACACAAGGCAUCUUGUCUAAUGCUUGGCAUAAGUUACACAAGAGGCCAUCAACAUGUUUACUAAAACAAUUAACACAAGCUUUGAAGACAUUGCCUUAUGGAGCACAUCUAUGUCUGAUUUGGCUAAGCAACAUCAUUCCAGAGAAGAUAAGAUCUUGACACUAACAACAUCGAAGUUCAGAAGGAUGUGAGAUGUACAGAAGUGAGCAAAUGUAAUAUUUAUUGAUCGCCUUGGGUUACAGAUUCAAAUAAACAAAAAUUACCUCAUCUGGGACUCGCAGAUAAUUAUAUUUCCACAGAUGUAACAUUCUGGUAGUCCCCAAAACCUAUCUCCAUCCUACAUCAUGGCUUCAAUUCUGAGAUGGGGACCAUGAAGCACAAAAUGGUACAAUUUUAAGUCAAAAUUUAAUACUC
rnacentral:misc_RNA from 1 species